GAGCAAAUCCCUAAAAGCCAUCCCAGUUCGGAUUGCAGGCUGNAACCCGCCUGUAUGAAGUUGGAAUCGCUAGUAAUCGCGGAUCAGCAUGCCGCGGUGAAUACGUUCCCGGGCCUUGUACACACCGCCCGUCACACCAUGAGAGUCGGGAACACCCGAAGUCCGUAGCCUAACCGCAAGGGGGGCGCGGCCGAAGGUGGGUUCGAUAAUUGGGGUGAAGUCGUAACAAGGUAGC
rnacentral:rRNA from 1 species